AACGAACGCUGGCGGCAUGCCUAACACAUGCAAGUCGAACGAAGGCUUCGGCCUUAGUGGCGCACGGGUGCGUAACGCGUGGGAAUCUGCCCUUUGGUUCGGAAUAACAGCUGGAAACGGCUGCUAAUACCGGAUGAUGACGAAAGUCCAAAGAUUUAUCGCCAGAGGAUGAGCCCGCGUUGGAUUAGGUAGUUGGUGGGGUAAAGGCCUACCAAGCCGACGAUCCAUAGCUGGUCUGAGAGGAUGAUCAGCCACACUGGGACUGAGACACGACCCAGACUCCUACGGGAGGCAGCAGUGGGGAAUAUUGGACAAUGGGCGCAAGCCUGAUCCAGCAAUGCCGCGUGAGUGAUGAAGGCCAUAGGGUUGUAAAGCUCUUUUACCCGGGAAGAUAAUGACUGUACCGGGAGAAUAAGCCCCGGCUAACUCCGUG
rnacentral:rRNA from 1 species